rnacentral:rRNA from 1 species
UACGUAGGGUCCGAGCGUUGUCCGGAAUUAUUGGGCGUAAAGAGCUCGUAGGCGGUUCGAUAAGUCGGACGUGAAAUCUCCACGCUCAACGUGGAGGGGCCGUUCGAUACUGUCGUGACUCGAGUCCGGUAGGGGAGUGUGGAAUUCCCGGUGUAGCGGUGAAAUGCGCAGAGAUCGGGAGGAACACCCGUAGCGAAGGCGGCACUCUGGGCCGGUACUGACGCUGAGGAGCGAAAGCGUGGGGAGCAAACAGG